rnacentral:rRNA from 1 species
AACGAACGCUGGCGGCAUGCCUAACACAUGCAAGUCGAACGAAGCCUUCGGGCUUAGUGGCGCACGGGUGCGUAACGCGUGGGAAUCUGCCCUUGGUUCGGAAUAACAGUUAGAAAUGACUGCUAAUACCGAAUGAUGUCUUCGGACCAAAGAUUUAUCGCCCAAGGAUGAGCCCGCGUCGGAUUAGCUAGUUGGUGAGGUAAAGGCUCACCAAGGCGACGAUCCGUAGCUGGUCUGAGAGGAUGAUCAGCCACACUGGGACUGAGACACGGCCCAGACUCCUACGGGAGGCAGCAGUGGGGAAUAUUGGACAAUGGGCGAAAGCCUGAUCCAGCAAUGCCGCGUGAGUGAUGAAGGCCUUAGGGUUGUAAAGCUCUUUACCCGGGAUGAUAAUGACAGUACCGGGGGAAUAAGCCCCGGCUAACUCCGUGCCAG